UACGGAGGGUGCGAGCGUUAAUCGGAAUUACUGGGCGUAAAGCGCACGCAGGCGGUUUGUUAAGCUAGAUGUGAAAGCCCCGGGCUCAACCUGGGAUGGUCAUUUAGAACUGGCAGACUAGAGUCUUGGAGAGGGGAGUGGGAUUCCAGGUGUAGCGGUGAAAUGCGUAGAUAUCUGGAGGAACAUCAGUGGCGAAGGCGACUCCCUGGCCAAAGACUGACGCUCAUGUGCGAAAGUGUGGGUAGCGAACAGC
rnacentral:rRNA from 1 species